UGGGGAAUAUUGGACAAUGGGCGCAAGCCUGAUCCAGCCAUGCCGCGUGAGUGAAGAAGGCCCUAGGGUUGUAAAGCUCUUUCAGCGGGGAAGAUAAUGACGGUACCCGCAGAAGAAGCCCCGGCUAACUUCGUGCCAGCAGCCGCGGUAAUACGAAGGGGGCUAGCGUUGUUCGGAUUUACUGGGCGUAAAGCGCGCGUAGGCGGAUUGUUAAGUCAGGGGUGAAAUGCCGAGGCUCAACCUCGGAACUGCCCUUGAUACUGGCAAUCUGGAGUUCGGGAGAGGUGAGUGGAAUUCCGAGUGUAGAGGUGAAAUUCGUAGAUAUUCGGAGGAACACCAGAAGCGAAGGCGGCUCACUGGCCCGAUACUGACGCUGAGGCGCGAAAGCGUGGGGAGCAAACAGGAUUAGAUACCCCCGUAGUCC
rnacentral:rRNA from 1 species